GCCUGUAGAAAAUAAAGAAGAUUCAGUGGAUGUUGGUCAGUUCUGUGUGGAAGACUAGUGAUUUUGUUGUUUUUAGAUAACUAAAUUGACAACAAAUCACAGUCUGCCAUAUG
rnacentral:miRNA from 1 species